UGUGCCAGGUCAAUUAAUGAGACUGGAUCUAACGCACCAGCUUUUUUCUAUUUUCUUAUUUAAUCCAUUUUAUUUCUUUAUUUCAUUUUUAUUUCAAAAAAUCAUAACUCUUUCAUUUUAAUUCCAAAAAAUAUGGGACCAAUUGCAUUAUUUCCCUUUCUAAUUCUAGUUUCUGAAAAUGAUUUUUAAUAUUUUAUAUUUUGUCAUUUGAUAUUUUUUAUGAAUUUUCUCUUUUG
rnacentral:lncRNA from 1 species